UAUUAAUUAAAAAGAUUAAAUCUGAUGAGUAAAUGAGGAAUUUACUUAUAAUUUAUUUUACUUUUCUAUUAUGCCGGGUACAGGGAGGCAGCAAAAAAUCAUCGAAGCCUUGCGGGCUAGCCCAACCACACAAGAGAAUAGCUAACACGCCUGACUCUAAGUAUAAUGAAUCGGAGCACCAUUCAUACCGAAAAUUCCUCUAUUCAGGACCUUUGAUGUAAGUGGAUACAAUACAAUACAACACAACACAACACAACAUAACACAACACAACACAAUACAAAUAAGUACUCUUUAUUUUGCACA